rnacentral:rRNA from 1 species
UACGAAGGGGGCUAGCGUUGCUCGGAAUGACUGGGCGUAAAGGGCGCGUAGGCGGCUUGCACCGUCAGAUGUGAAAUUCCUGGGCUUAACCUGGGGGCUGCAUUUGAUACGUGUGGGCUUGAGUGCGGAAGAGGGUCGUGGAAUUCCCAGUGUAGAGGUGAAAUUCGUAGAUAUUGGGAAGAACACCAGUGGCGAAGGCGGCGAUCUGGGUCGAUACUGACGCUGAGGUGCGAAAGCGUGGGGAGCAAACAGG